rnacentral:lncRNA from 1 species
UUAGGGAAGACAUUCUUCCAAGUAUCAAGAAAGGGAGCCCUUGCUUCCCUGGAAGAUAUAUUCUCCCAGCAAUCCUCCUCCAGUUCCAUGUGACCAUUCCUACUCUGAGCCAGUUUUGGAAAAGAAGGGAAGACAUUCUUCCAAGUAUCAUGAAAGGGAGCCCUUGCUUCUCUGGAAGACAUUUCCUCCCAGCAAUCCCUCUCCAGUUCCAUGUGACCAUUCCUACUCUGAGCCAGUUUUGGAAAGGAAGG